rnacentral:rRNA from 1 species
GCACGCGUUAUCCGGAUUCACUGGGUUUAAAGGGCGCGUAGGUGGGUUGGUAAGUCAGUGGUGAAAUCCCCGAGCUUAACUUGGGAACUGCCAUUGAUACUAUCAGUCUUGAAUACUGUGGAGGUUAGCGGAAUAUGUCAUGUAGCGGUGAAAUGCUUAGAUAUGACAUAGAACACCACUUGCGAAGGCAGCUGGCUACACAAUUAUUGACACUGAGGCUCGAAAGCGUGGGGAUCAAACAGG